rnacentral:rRNA from 1 species
UACGGAGGGUGCAAGCGUUAUCCGGAUUCACUGGGUUUAAAGGGUGCGUAGGCGGCCUUAUAAGUCAGUGGUGAAAGCCCGGAGCUUAACUUCGGAACUGCCAUUGAUACUGUAAGUCUUGAGUACACUUGAGGUGGGCGGAAUACAUCAUGUAGUGGUGAAAUACUUAGAUAUGACAUAGAACACCAGUGGCGAAGGCGGUGCUCUGGGCCGGAACUGACGCUGAGGAGCGAAAGCGUGGGGAGCAAACAGG